AACUCUCAAUGCAAAGGGCAAUAAAGAGUCCCUGUAUGCCUCAUGUGAUCACACACUAUUAUAUAUUUUGCAGGUUUGUCAUUAUGCAAGUUUGAAAACACUCCGUUCUUCCUGUCGUGGAUCCCUAAACCACACAGAUGCUCUGAAGUACAUGUUUAGUUUUAAGGUUUUUAGUAUAACAGUAUUCUGGGAAAAAAAAAAAAAAACCUUUCUUUUUAACCAUUCUACAGCUUCUUUUUUAACAGUAGACCUGAACAUGGCUCUAGACAUGUUUGUUUUCUUAUUAUUUUUUGUAUAUGUAUACGGUUUUCAAUUUCCGAUCUUCUGUUUCAUCUGUUAUUCUUUCUGCCUAACUGUACAAUAUUAAAUAUGAGAUGUUAUGCUGAUAA